rnacentral:rRNA from 1 species
UCAUCGUAGGGUUAGUCGGGACCUAAGUCGAGUCCGAAAGGGGUAGACGAUGGAAAAAAGGUUAAUAUUCCUUUACCAACAAUUGAGCGUGAUGUGGGGACGCAUAGAGUUAGACGAGGUCGCUGAUGGAAUAGCGGCUCGAAGGAUGUAGGUUGUAUCUUAGGCAAAUCCGGGAUACGUAAAGACCGAAAUCUGACAGGCUAAAUAAUACUUUCGAGUAGCAUUUAGAAUCGUUGAUACUGUCGUGCCUAGAAAAGCCACUAAGCAUAUCAAUUGCUGCCCGUACCGUAAACCGACACAGGUGGGUGAGAUGAGUAUUCUAAGGCGCGUGGAAGAACUCUGGUUAAGGAACUCUGCAAACUAGCACCGUAAGUUCGCGAUAAGGUGUGCCUGAGUAAUCAGGUCUCAGCAAAGAGUCCCUCCCGACUGUUUAC